rnacentral:lncRNA from 1 species
AAAUAGUAAGCUACAAAGGAGGCGACUCAGUCCGCUGCAUUAUUCGUCUUCCGAAACACAUGCGAAGCCCGAAAUGACUCUAACUCCGCCAUGAGCCGCCAAAUAUCCCAAAGUAGUGCGUGCCGCUAAAUAUUCCGGAGUAGCGAGUGCUAUGUUUGAACAACCAAAACUGACUUCGCCCCCUCCGUGACUCUACCGAAGGCUAGGAAACCUAAUCUCCAUCUUUAUUAAGCACCUCUUACCCCUUGUGGCAUAUCACCACCGCAAUCGAGCACCUCUCUCUCUCUCUCUUCUCAUUCUCAGAAAUAAUUAUUUUCUUGCCGUGCCACUACUCUUUGUUCUUGUACUACCCUUGAUACCUUGUCGAAGAUGAGGUAUUAGACAUCAAACCCUCAGCUUUCCUUCUCCCCCACCCAUCCCAUGGUUGAGGCCGCCUCCUUCCCUAUUCGAGCCUUAAAUCCCUCUCCAUAUAUGGCCCUUAUCUUCCUCUUUGCAAGCACUUGAGUCACUAGUGUCUUUGCUAGGACCUCGACCCUCGACUGGCAGCCGAGCCCGAGCCAUAUUCUUCAAUCCCCUAUUUUGCCUGGACCCUUUCAUUCUUCUCUUUCUUCUUUUCCCUUUAGCUAUUGAGCACUCAUUGCUUCACUGCUGUCGAAGUAGCCAUCUAUCGCCAGACUUCUAGUCACUACCCACCGCUCCAUCGCCAGACCACCAUCACCUCCCAUCUCAUUUUC